UCAUAACCCGAAGGUCGCAGGUUCAAAUCCUGUCCCCGCAACCAAGGUCCCGUGGUGUAGUGGUUAACAUGCCUGCCUGUCACGCAGGAGAUCGCCGGUUCGACCCCGGUCGGGACCGCCAUUUUUACAUAAAGGCUCGGUAGCUCAGUCGGUAGAGCAGAGGACUGAAAAUCCUCGUGUCGGCGGUUCGAUUCCGUCCCGAGCCACCAUUUUGAAGUCGCAAGCCGGCUUNGGGGAUAACAGGCUUAUCUCCCCCAAGAGUCCACAUCGACGGGGAGGUUUGGCACCUCGAUGUCGGCUCAUCGCAUCCUGGGGCUGUAGUCGGUCCCAAGGGUUGGGCUGUUCGCCCAUUAAAGCGGUACGCGAGCUGGGUUCAGAACGUCGUGAGACAGUUCGGUCCCUAUCCGUCGUGGGCGUAGGAAAUUUGAGAGGAGCUGUCCUUAGUACGAGAGGACCGGGAUGGACGCACCGCUGGUGUACCAGUUGUUCUGCCAAGGGCAUAGCUGGGUAGCUAUGUGCGGAAGGGAUAAGUGCUGAAAGCAUCUAAGCAUGAAGCCCCCCUCAAGAUGAGAUUUCCCAUAGCGUAAGCUAGUAAGAUCCCUGAAAGAUGAUCAGGUUGAUAGGUUCGAGGUGGAAGCAUGGUGACAUGUGGAGCUGACGAAUACUAAUAGAUCGAGGACUUAACCAU
rnacentral:rRNA from 1 species